rnacentral:lncRNA from 1 species
AUACUAGCCAGGCAUAGUGGGAUGUGCCUGUAGUCCUAGCUACUCGAGGCUGAGGUGGGAAGAUCCCUUGAACUUGGAAGAUUGAGGCUGCAGUAAGCCAUGAUUGUGGCGUUGUACUCCAUCCUGGGAGAUAGAGCAAGACCCUAUCUCAAAAAAAAAAAAAAAAAAAAAAAAAAAAAAAAAAAAAAUGCCUGGCGCAGUGGUUCACGCCUGUAAUCCCAACACUUCGGGAGCCCAAGGCGGGCGGAUCACGAGGUCAAGAGAUCGAGACUAUCCUGGCCAACAUGGUGAAACCCUGUCUGCACUAACAAUAUGAAAAUUAGCCAGGCAUGGUGGCACACACCUGUAAUCACAGCUACUCGGGAGGCUGAGGCAGGAUAAUUGCUUGAAUCCGGGAGGUGGAGGUUGCAAUGAGCCAAGAUCACACCAUUGCACUCCAGCUCUGGGCGACAGAGGAAGACUGCCUCAGGAAAAGAAAAGAAAAAAGAAAGUAGUUAAGGAAACGCAAAGUUGGGUUGCUGGGUGUGAUGGGUUGUGUCUGUAGUCAUGGUUACUAUGGAGGCUGUAGUGGGAGGAUUGCUUGAGCUAAGGAGUUUUGGACUGUAGGGCGCUGUGCUGAUUGGGUGCCUGUACUGAGAUUGGCAUCAAUGUGGUGGCCUCCCAGGAGCGGGGAGAACCACCAGGUUGCCUAAGGGAGGGUGAACGAGUCCAGAUCAGACAUGGAACAGGUCAGAACCUCCGUGCUCAUCAGUAGUGGAAUCCUGCCUGUGAAUAGCCACUGCACUCCAGCCUGGACGACAUAGUAAGACCCUGUCUCUUAAAAAAAAAAAAGUUGAAAAUUAGCCAGGCGUGGUAGCCUGCACCUGUAGUCCCAGCUACUCGGGUGGCUGAGGCAGGAGAAUUACUUGAACCUGGGAAGUGGAGGUUGCAGUGAGCUGAGAUCAUGCCACUGCACUCCAGCCUGAGCGACAG